UUGGAUUUCCUUUGGCAGGGUUCCCUUGUAUGGAAGUUCUCAGGAGAACAACACUCUCAGAGUCCCAUUGUCUCAAAGAAUUCUUAAUGGACAGGUAUUUUUAAAGAAGUCAGGGUUAUCCACAGCUAUGUACAUAUAAUACCAAAUCAGAUCAUUUAUUCUGUACCUGAGGCAAAAAAGCUUCUGAUUCCUGAAUGGAUUUCUUCACUGGUUCUUCUGGGGGAUGAGAGAGAGAAACCAUUUACAAAGCUGAAGGAGAGCUAAGUCCACCCCUACACUGGCUGAGUUUCUUUGUAUAACAACUGUUCUCCCUUCCUAUUUUCUUCAAUUAUCUCUUCUUUCCCCAGCUAUACUUGGCCCCAAGGUUUCAACCUCAGACUGAAGAAAGUGACAUAAGAAAACACAAGUCCCAGUGCUAUCAGGGGCUAUCUGGAAAAGCUGCUUAAACAGCAAGUGAAAGAAGGCUCUCCCCUACCCCGUUCUAGACUCACCCUGAAGUUAUUUGAAGGAUCCUUGAGACUCUUUUGGAUUGCUGCUUGGAGAACAUUCCUGUAACUUGUCCCUGCUCCUUGAACUAUAAAAGCAGAAGGGAGGUACUGAGUUAAAACUUAUAAAUUAUUAUC
rnacentral:antisense_RNA from 1 species